UUAAAAGUGAAGGUGGGUAACUAGGCCUUGACUGGGUCCACUAGUGCUCUUAUUUCUCUCAUCUCUUCCUACCUAUGGUCUCUCCCUCUACCACUCGAGCUCCUAUCUUUGACCACCCACCCUCACCCUCAUGAACGCUGAUUGGCCUCAAGGAACAUUUACCAUUAGUCACCAGUGCUCCAACCUCAUGAAUGUAGAACCAUCAUAAAGACCGUCGCAUUUGAAUUUUGAUGCAGGAUCGAUGUUGGCACCAAAGGUAUGUACAUCGAAGCUUCUAGUAUCUGUCAAUGAUCACUUCAUAGGUCAUGUGACCAUAAAGGUUUGACCAAAUUGGAGUAUUUCAAGAUGAAGCUUUAAUGGUAUGGAUUGUUGAAAAGAGCCAAGGAAUUGGUCUUCAAACAAUUUUUCAACACACCCAAGCUUCAGUUAUCUUGGGCGAUUGUACAUGCAUUACUACUCCAUAGGAUCUUGGCUUUGCGUGAUGAUAAAUUGUACUUCUAUUUGGGCAACACAUGUUGUAGAUAUAGGGUCAACAAGUCCACAUUGGUCACUAACCUCAACUUCAGUCGACUUCCAUCAAAAGAGAGAGUUAAAGGAGCAUUUGAGCUCCCCUCGCCUUAUCAAUACAUACUUCAACGAGGAAAAAAAAGACUAUUAUACAUCAUCAAUUGGAAAAUCUUUCAAGCAUAGCGAUACGAAAGAGAAUAUUUGGAAGCUUGGUCUUGUUGUUUGGUAGAUGGGUUAGUGUUUGCCACUGAGUGUACUAUUUGGAGAAGCUUGCUUUUGAUGCUGGAGAACUUGGAUUACUUCACAAAGUUUCCACAAAGCACUUUGUCUUUUGAUAGGACAAUAUGAGGGUUAGGCAAGGAUAUGAAAGUUCCAACUUGAGAAACUGAACUCCAGGGGUUAACUUUUCCUGAGUUUGGGUUCAAGUAAAACCCACAUGUACAUGUGGUUUUCAGAUAGCCAGGAAUGUGAAACAUUCCAAAAUUAUUGUCAUUUAAAAAAUAAUAAUAAAAAAUCUUAAACCAAUAGCUUUUUUA